rnacentral:rRNA from 1 species
GUCCACGCUGUAAACGAUGGACACUAGAUCUUGGUAGUAUCGACCCUAUCAGGAUCGAAGCUAACGCGUUAAGUGUCCCGCCUGGGGACUACGGCCGCAAGGCUAAAACUCAAAAGAAUUGACGGGGACCCGCACAAGCGGUGGAGCACGUGGUUUAAUUCGUAGCUAAACGAAGAACCUUACCCAGGCUUGACAUGCAACUGCAAGCUCUAGAGAUAGAGCCGCCUUCGAGGGUGUUGCACAGGUGCUGCAUGGUAGUCGU